GGGCCGCUAGCUCAAUUGGCAGAGCAACUGACUCUUAAUCAGUAGGUUACAGGUUCGAUUCCUGUGCGGCUCACCA
rnacentral:tRNA from 1 species